AGUGAACGCUGGCGGUAGGCCUAACACAUGCAAGUCGAACGGCAGCACAGUAAGAGCUUGCUCUUACGGGUGGCGAGUGGCGGACGGGUGAGGAAUACAUCGGAAUCUACUUUUUCGUGGGGGAUAACGUAGGGAAACUUACGCUAAUACCGCAUACGACCUACGGGUGAAAGCAGGGGAUCUUCGGACCUUGCGCGAUUGAAUUAGCCGAUGUCGGAUUAGCUAGUUGGCGGGGUAAAGGCCCACCAAGGCGACGAUCCGUAGCUGGUCUGAGAGGAUGAUCAGCCACACUGGAACGGAGACACGGUCCAGACUCCUACGGGAGGCAGCAGUCGGGAAUAUUGGGCAAUGGGCGCAAGCCUGAUCCAGCCAUACCGCGUGGGUGAAGAAGGCGUUCGGGUUGUAAAGCCCUUUUGUUGGGAAAGAACAGCAGCAGGUUAAUACCCAGCUGUUCUGACGGUACCCAAAGAAUAAGCACCGGCUAACUUCGUG
rnacentral:rRNA from 1 species